rnacentral:lncRNA from 1 species
UCCAAUUUUUAAAUUUGUUUAAUGUGUGAUUAGCGUAGCGAUUUGUUUCCGUAACGAUUAAUUUCCAGAUCUCUUGCGAAAAAAACAUGUAAAAGUAGAGAACCGGAAGGGAGUUUGUAGCUGGCGGAUUUACGGGGCCUACUAACGAGGAAUAAACUCAAAUACCUGUUCUUUAUCCUCGGGUGGAUAUACUCUAAUCCACGGUCCAGCAAAACAGUCAUCGUAUACAGGCUCUUCCUCCUCUUCAAGUUAUUCGGGGGGAGGUUGAUCUUCGGCCGAAGAUGCGGAGCUUUCUUCAUUUUCAGUAACAAUGUCCUCUUCAGAUGAAUUCAACAGAUCCAAAAUCUCUGAUUCUUCCAUGAUGUUUAAAUUCAAUCAUGGCAGAUGAUUAUUCUGUCUUGCAUCUGUUAGCAAUUGAAGAAUUAGAAAGAGAAGAACGUAGAUCAUUAAGAAGAAAUAGAGUAAUUCGAUCGAGAGUCGAUGCUUUCGACUUGCAUGAAAAUUAUUUUACAAAAUUAUUUCGUCUUUCCAAAGAAUUAACAAAUAGUCUCAUAAAUGAUCUGAAGCCUUUCCUGAAAGAACCAAGACGUAAAUCUGAACUUAGUGUACAAACAAAGGUGAGUUAAAAGUAGUAGACUAUAUGCAAUGUGGAUUAGAUC